rnacentral:misc_RNA from 1 species
CCGAGUGAGGGCCUCCGGGCCCGACCUCCAACCCUUUGUGAACACACCCGUUGCUUCGGGGGCGACCCUGCCGUUUCGACGGCGAGCGCCCCCGGAGGUCUUCCAACACUGCAUCUUUGCGUCGGAGUUUAAGGAAUGAAACCA